rnacentral:lncRNA from 1 species
CGGCAAUCUAUUAUACGAAGCAUACGUUGUACCCCUCAAUGAAAUCAAAGCUUUCUCCCUAUUCCUACGGGCCAUUGUAUAAGUCAAAUUCAAUCCAAGCUCAUUCUUAAUAUCCUUUUGUAUGUGUUUAGCCGUAUACACUCUUUUAUGGUUGGAUAACUUUUGCUUCACAAUGCCUCCAAUCAAUGAACUACUAACAUGUUUCUGUUCAC